GUGUUGCCAUGUCUAAGAGUAAUGAUUUCAAAGAUGAUAACAACUACAAUGACUGCUUAUGUUGCCGUGCCUGAAGAAGAACAGCAUCCCGUUGCAAUUCUGUUAGAGGAGAACUUGUAAUAACUGCUAAUGAAUGACGUGGUGAUUAAAAAUGACUUGUCAGGUGAUCAUGAUAUGAUUAACACAUUAGUAGGUUAUGCAGGUUUUCAUCAUUUUAUUUUUUGAAGUUUUCAUCCUUGUAUUUUUUGAAGUUUUCAUUUUACAUAUUAGGUUUUCAUCAUUUUUAAAUACAAAGUUUUCAUUUUAGUUUUCAUCCUUUUAUUUUUUGUAGUUUUCGUUUUAAAAUAUAAGGUUUUUAUCCUUUAUUUUUUGUAGUUUUAGUUUUAUUAUUUUUUCUUGUUUAUUCCACUUGUUAUUUCAUUUACUAUGAUUUUCAUUUACUAUGUUUUUCUUUUUAUUAUUUUCUUUUGUUUUAUUCUUUAGACCAAAUGACUUCCAUUUCUGCUAUGCUGACAUUUUGAAAAUUAAAAAAUUGCUAAAGAUGCUUAAUAAAUAACCUUCACAGACAAUUGUUGUAUACAUUUAAAAUAAGUUAAAACAGGAGGGAAUGUUACAGGAAAAAUGAUUCUAUGUUUCUUUACCUUCUUUUAAAUGUACAAAGAUGCCCUUUUGUCUAUGGUUAGAUUAGUUUAGAAUUAUCCUUUUAGACUUUCUCAGCAAAGACAUACUGUUUUGGGACAUAUUGUUUUAGAUUGUUUUAUCUCUCACAGCUUUCUCCCAGCUCUCUGCUGACGAGACUAGCGCCACAUAUGGAGUUGUUAAUUUUAUCUGUUUUGUAUUUUCUUAUCCUGUUCUCACUGUGUUUCCUAUAAAG
ensembl:lncRNA